rnacentral:lncRNA from 1 species
CUACCGGCAAAUCCCGGUUACUCCAUAUGUCCUAGUUUCUAGCACAAUUCAUGCCGAAAAUUUCGGCAUGACCUUUGCUAAAAAGUGGACAUAUGGAGCGCUUGAAAUUUGCGGGAACGGAAAUGAAUCAACGUUCCAGCAAAACAUAGGCCACUCGAAUACCAUGAGGAUAACAAAUGGAAUUAUCUUGACACCAUCACAAGAUUAAUUAUACAAAUAUAAACAGAAAAUAAUAAAUGCAAUUCUCUUGACACCAUCACAAGUACUAGCAAAGGGAUGCAAUGACCUACGCCGAGUCUGAGAAAGGAAAAUUGUUUCAGUAGGGAAAAAUAUUUUCUUGCCACAUUUUUUGUUUUUGAGGACCAUCCUUGAUUCUGGCAAAUCUUCUCAUGGAACACUCUAAGUUCAAAACACUAUCUACAC